UUGUAGAGGUAUUUCAAAAUGGAACGGCCUUGGUCACACACUGUGUCGCGCGCUUUUUCCAAUUGAUAAUAAACUUAAAGGUCAGUCACGCGUAACUUCAAGAGAGGAAGCAGCAUCACUACCACCAUCAUACAUUGUGUUUGUUCAUGAUUUAACUUAUCAUUGAUUAAAUACUUCAUUAAUUGUUACACGUCUAUCGUCAUGUACUUGAAACAACAACAACACAAGUGAUAUGCAAAAGAUAAGAGGUAUAAACUGAGAAUUUCCUCUCAUAAUUCAUUCGACAGAGCGACGACUAUUUGUGACUGACGUGGCAUUUAAAUAUGGCGAUGGAAGCGAAACCUUCAGUUUUAGUCUGCUUACGGACUCUAAGCAAUAGCAAAGUGACGAGCAAUUUUAUUGAAACAUGUUUGAGUCGCUUGAGAAAUUGUUUUCAAGUCGUUUUUCUGGACGAUAUCCAACAGAAUCCAAGCAUAAAGAACGACAUCGCUGGUAUUGUUACACCGGGUCCAGAUUCGAAAGAAAUAAACAAAUUAAUUCGAACUCUGCCGAAUCUGAAAGUGAUUUCAAACCAUGGAAUGGGAGUGGAUAAUCUUGAUCUGAAAUGGGCCAAAGAAAAAGGGUUGCGAGUUGGAAACACCAAAUAUGUUAUUGCCGACAGCACCGCGGAACUUGCCAUAACUUUAAUGCUUCUUUCAACACGGAAAAUAGUGCAAGGUGUCCGCAUGGCAAUGGGAAAGGAACAUCCAAACUUCGUUAGUCCGAGCUUACUUGGCAUAAGUGUGACGAAGAAAAAUCUUGGAAUUGUUGGUAUGGGAGAUAUUGGGCUUAAAAUCGCUCUAAGAGCAACGGCGUUUGGAAUGAAAAUCCUGUAUCAUAACAGAACACAAAGAAGCAAGGAAGACGAAGAACGGGUCAAAGCUACGUAUUACCCUCGUUUGCAUGAUAUGUUACCCGAAACAGAUGUUCUUGUUAUUGCUUGUCCUUGCACAGAACAAACGAUUAACUUGAUUAGUACAGAAGAAUUCCGGUUGAUGAAGAAAACUUCACUUUUGGUAAACAUCGCUCGAGGGAAGAUAGUUGACACCGACGCCCUUGUGAAAGCUCUUCAGUCAAAUGAAAUUCAAAGUGCUGCCAUGGAUGUCACCGAACCUGAACCGCUACCACGAGGACACCCAUUGUUAUCCAUGCCAAAUGUUGUCAUAACCCCUCACUGUGGAACAUACACUUUCGAAACUCGCUUAGAAAUGAUUGGUUUAGUGAUAGAAAAUUUAAAUUGUGCUUUGGCAGGGAAAGCGAUGCCGUCUGAAGUAAUUUUGUAAUGAUGAUAUCUAACCAAGAAACAAUAUAUUCCUGAAACUGCAGAGAAUUAUUUUUGAUAAAUGUGUUAAUUAAUCGUGAAUUGUA
rnacentral:misc_RNA from 1 species